GUCUGCAGCCAUACCAUCCUGAGUGCACCUGUUCAAGCCUGACCUCAGAAGCUAAGCAGGGUCAGGUCUGCUUCACACUCAGAUGGGAGACUUUUCUGGGAUUGCUGAUUUUAUACACG
rnacentral:rRNA from 1 species